ensembl:lncRNA
GGUUAUUAACCCUUUCGGUGCUGCAGAUUCAGGCGCCUGCGCGUGGCGGGGAGGUUUACGCGCGCGUGCCGCUGAGGGGCGAGUUUGUUCUCAACAGGUUGCGUCUACGCGGUCACAGGUGCACGCGGUCACCUCGCCGCGUGGUGUCAGCUGUGGGUUUGCACGUGCAAGAAAGAGGUGGCGGCACCUCCGCUGCGCUCUGCGGUCAGAAAACGGCAGGUCCAUUUGCCCGGGAGGCUGGAAAAAAAAGCCUCUUCGGAUGGGGUGGAUGCUUUUAAAAAUCGUGGCAGCAUUUUAAAUAUCAUUAGGAAGAAUCCACUUUUAAAACUUUUCAGAAACACCUACUAAAGAAAUAUACAUUUUGUUUAAUUUAAAAUGUAUGCUGCUUUUCCCCCAUAAGCGUCAGAGAAGCAAGAAGCAGUUUGUAACAGACCACCUCCGCUGCAUUCUGCCUGCUGGCCACCAGGGGGUGUUUCCUCUGGUUGUAUAGAAUUCUAUGAGAAAAUUCUUCAGGGUGUGCAUCAGGGCUGGCUUACUGUGAUUGACAGCUCGCUGUUGCUCCACCCUUACGUAGAUAUGAGUGACAUGUUCCAGGAACGUUGCCACAGUGUGUAAUCCUGCUAAGCGGGCCACAGCCGCUAACAUUAACGUUUUACAUUGUUGGGUCCCUUAACAGGCAAUUAUUUUAAUUGAAAUCUUCCAAGAAUCCUGAUGCACUGCUGUUUCAUGCUACAAUACUUUUUUUAAAGUAGGCUUCAGCAUAUGAAUCGGUUAUUUCUUUCUUUUCUGCAAAUAUGCUUUUGAGGAAGAGGACUAAACUGUUUAUUUCAUGCUAUUAAUUUAGCCAGGUGGUGUUUCCGGCACAGGUCACUGUUCUACACCUGGAAGCCACCUCGAUGCCCAUACCUCAUCCCAUCAUGCCCAGCUUCUCUCUUCAGUUGGUGAUUAAUUCAUUUUUAUUGUUGUUAUUCACAUAUUUAGAUUCUGUUCUGAUACCCAUACCACCCAUUGUACUUAAAGACUAAAAUACAUAGCAGGUCAGAAAGACCGGGAUGCGCUACAAGCAUCUGGUUGUGUUUUGCAGCAUACGAGCCAACAUGCUUUCUGGUUAUUCAACCCACAGUCAUUUGAGCCGCAAAUAUUUCAACUAACAGGUCAGGAGAUCGAGGAGCUUUUGAUAUCCGGUUAAAUGCGUACUGCAUGAAACCGAGCGAACUCGCUGAAAGUGGAAAAAGAAAACACAGCUUAUGUGUUACAUCAUGGUGCGUUACAAUCCAUCGGCUGUUGGAUUAUAUGACUAUGCGUCUGUUCAGCAGGUUCCAACAUCCCCCCCCACCAAGGCUUCAAACCCAGAACCCUUAUCGACUUACCUGAUGUCACCCAGUAAAGGUGGAGUGUGAGAGGUCACCCCGGGUGUAAAUGUUGUAAAUAGGAAUUGGACAGCUUCCUGGGGCAUAUUUUCCACUGCAAUGCCUCAUCUUCAUGAUACCGAGGCUGAAUUGACCAUAUGAUACAGAAAUGGACAUAGAGGCAGACAUGGUGUCCGUGUGACUGACUCCAGGUUUGUUGCACGCUGGGACGUAUUCUCUGUGCGUUGGGACGUGCAGAGGCCCGAGCACAUGUGGCGCCCCGGCAUCAUCCCUCACACUCGCACGUCCGAUGGUUCUUUCACACGGCCGUCGCCCUCUAGUGGUCAGCCGGCAUCAGGGCACCCGGUGCAGGCAGUGAAUGGGCUGGUGGUGGUGGUGGUCCAAACUCAGGGCCCAACCUCCGGCUGACGGGGCAGCGGAUGGGAGGCCACGUGCACCCCACCCAGGCACAAUGUCGGGUUUCCCAACGUGCGCCCCCCCCCCUCCACUGGCAGUCACCUUUCAACUGCUUGGAGGGGAGAGAAGAUGCGGAAAGAUAACACGAGCAACUGACAGGAAAGAACACACUAUUAUUUUUUCCUUGUAUAAAUCUCUCGAAGCAUUGAGGGGAGUAGAGACAGUGUGAUCUGUGGAGAUAUAUCUUCAACCGCCUCUUCCCUCCUCAGGAGUUAUUUUUAGAAGCUCAAGGUAUUCUUCUGAUGCCCCGUCUGUGCACAAUAUAGUAUGAGAAUUCCAGUCUGAUCACAAAAGGGCCAACGUGUGAUAGAAGGAUCAGUCCGAAUAAGAGCGAGACCGACUCAAAUAGCCGAGGUGUGCGAGUCACGCUCCGCCGCAUAAGUAGGAAGAAGAAGGCACGCGGCGGAUGGGAGGACACGCGUGAUUCUGUUCAAUGGCGCCGGCCCCCCGGGUUGUGAUUCACUUGGGCUGCCGAUUGCUCCUCAUGGUUUGGGAAAGGCCCGUUUUUUUUCCUUUCCUUCCCUCACCAAGUUGUUGCUGGAGAGGAGGCGGAUUUAUACCUCCGAUUGCGGAGCUGAAGUUUUUACGGCCCUCAGAUGAAUUGUUUGAGGGAGGUUAGCAUUUGAUACCCAUCUGCUGUUAUUUGUCCCUGAAAAAUAAUUUGGAUUCCUGCGCUUUAAACUCCUCUGCAGAAAUGUGGAGGGGUUUAGUAGGGUUUUCCUGAUUGGGAGAAUGUGUCCAUCAAUGGGAAAUGACCAAAUAAAAAAAUAAAGUGGAGUAUUAUUUUUGAUUAUAACCGAACACUUUGUACUGAGCAAAGAUGUUGUGACGAUGUGCUCUGACUGUGUGAAACUGGGUGGCACGUUAAUCGUGAUGUCUUAACAAUAUACAGAGUGAGUCUUUAUUUAGUUUUUCUUCUGUCCUCAUUGCGGCACAGCGGGAUGCUUUGUUUCAAAGAUAAAAGUAAAUAUUGGUUUUGUAAAUAUGAAGAACGCACAAAGACGUCAAAGAUGGCUCUUUGUGUGCAAACAAAUAAAUGAACCAGAUAUAUGGAGAAAACCACGAGACAAGAGAGAAAAUAAGAUUUAUGGAGUUAACAUGUUUGCGGUUCUUUGUAGAAAUUUUAAAAAAGAAAUUCAAAUGUAUUUUUUUCCUAGGAAACAGUUCAUAAGAAGAAAUACCACAAAGUCUAAAGCUGGUACUUUUCUACUAUAAUAAAUGAACUAGCUUAGAAACCGUUAAAUGGAUAUCUGAAUUCAACAUAGUCACAUUUCAUAUUUCUAUUUGAAAGUAUACCAUUACACCACACAGGUGCAUGCACAGAGGACUUUGCUGUAUUUGGCCCCAGACACCGGACCUCCCACUGCGUGUGCCGUGGUGAAAGUGAGCCUGGCGUUAUAACGCCGUAGAGCCUGACUGACCGGUGAACUCUCAUCCUCUGGAUACGCACAGCAGCCGGAGUGCUGUUAAUUCAGCGGCGGGAAACGUCAAUCACCGGCAGUAACGGUUACGGCGUUGGACUCGCACCACGGCAUAAAAACCAAAGGCUGAGUUUUGGAACACAAAGCUGCUACAGGACAUAAAACCCCUGCUAGCAAUUGGCCCACACGCCUACGUGCAAUUUCUCUCCUCUGGUGAGCCCUGAGAUCUGAUUGGUCAAGCCAAAGACACCACAGGGGUCCCAGUGGUCUCUAUGCUGCAACAGCAACAGACGAGACGAUGGGAAUAUAAAGAGUGAAUGAGGACCAUUGAAAAAAAAAACACUAAAGCAAUUUUCUAAUCGGAAAGAAUUGAGCGCACUAAAGCAGCUAAUUAGUUUCGAAAUUAUAAUUUAGUUGAUUAUAAUUGCUACGUGUGUGGACUGCAACAGGAAGAAACACUGUGAAAUUGGCAAACAAUCAAAAAUGAAUCCGAUUCUUUUGAAAAUCAUGUGUAUAGCAGCUCUAAAGAGUGAGGUGUGCAAGUUUUCCCUCAAUGUUCUUUUAAUACAAAUGGCUCGUAUGACGCUGCACAUUCGUUCCGUCUGCAGCGGUGCACAGAAUGACGCCACACAAGCUCAAUAUGUUGCCGCCCUUCUUAAGUCUUCUGCAGACGACACAAAUAUGACUUUAGGCGUCCAAUCGCCAAACAGCGUUUCCUGCUUCCACAAUGGACACGAAGAUUCUCAUUAUCUCACCUGUUCACCAUUUAACCGUUUCAAAAUGAUCAGUUAGACGGAAAUAUAUAUACAUGAAAAGUAUGUCUGGGCCCUCGCCACAAUGAAAAUAAAUAAAGGAAAGAGCAAAGGGGGACGCCCUUAGAUAGGGCUCGUUACUAAGGCCACCGACCCAGCUAGUUAAACUGGUUAAUGCAAGAGCAACAAGAGCAGCAGUUGUUGUCUGAUUAUCCACCUGAAGGAUACCAAAGUUGAAGACGAGAUUCCAAAAAAUGGAAAAAAUACCUUUGCACCGCUGGUCAAUGUCCCGACGCGUCACACUGUGACUCAGAUCAAACUCCUCUUCUGUCAGGUUUGACUUUCUUAGUAUUACAUUCAUGCAUUCCAGUUGAUUACAUCACAUUAAUACAAUCAUAGCUGUGCAUUGGUAUUAUUCUAUUGAUUGCAGUUUUAAAAUGACAGUGGUGUUACACUAUUCUUUAUUGAUUACAUCGUUUCCAAAUCAUGGCUCUAUGCUGGUGUGUACACUAAAUACAUUUGAUUAAUUAGGUCUAAUUUAUGAACCAGGUCAUCAGUUCAUUUCUAAUAAUCUACACGGGUAACGUGUUUGUUUUUUUUUCAGCAAUUCACACGACCUGCUUCAUCCCACAUGCCCUGACCCCCCCCCCCCCUUACUACCGCCAGGCCUACGCGCAGUACCGUGACACCACUGAGACUAGUGCGUAUUGAUGAUCAUGUAGAUCACAUGACAAGGAUGAGUGAAGCUGGAUGAAGUUAUGACAAAAUAUUAGAGCGAACAGGGAGCCACAGCUCGCCAUUGGUCUGCUUUGUUUGUUUGUGUGACUGGUUAUUUCUCCUGCUGUCUGGAACACACACGCAUGACAGCAGUCAGCUGGCUCUUGGCUGCCCUCCUUUGUGCUCCCUUCAAAUGCAAUUUUGAAGAGAGGAGGACGUGAGCUGCUGCGAAGCGUCAGAUCUCUUGGCCAUUGUCAGAGCUCUUUGAUGCCAAUACGAUACCGAGGCUCCUCUCGGGUUUCUAAUAGCAGGGCUUGUAGUACCACGCAAGACUGUGGGGCAUGUAAGAUUUAAGCCGUGCAUAUCAUUCACAGCUUGACAGAGAAUCAGAAGAAGAAGUGCUCAUCAAACAUUGUAGGCAACAUGAAUGUACAUGAACAUUCUUCAAAAGCAUUGUUGAAUAAUGGAAUAAAGUAAGACGGGGCUUCAUCUGCAGUAAAAGGGCUGCAGGCAGUAGCCCAGUUCUAUCUGGGGUCUGACUUUUGGAUUACAUUUGACAUGAAGAAAUACAUGAUAGAAUGUUAAAAUACUUCUUGAAUACAGUUUUUCUGAAAUGUUUGGCUUAUUUUGAAGAGGGCUUCAAAUUCCGGCAACAAAUGCGGCCUCUGUUUCCCGGAUUUGGAGCAGAUGCGACGAUAAAUUGCGUUCCCGUGAAGCUUUGCUCCUAAUUGUCAUGGCAACAGUUGAACCAGCGGCGGAAGAGGCGGCAGCAUCCACUUUUGUAAGUAUUUGGUUUCAGCUCACUGCCACAUUUACCGACACAAAUGUUAAAACACAACAUUAGUAGCUGACGAGAUAAACGUUACCGGCUGGAUUGGGACACAGUAGGAAGUUUCACUGUCUGAUGCUCCGGUCCAGCGCUAAUAACAAAAGACAAUUAACAAAUUUCAUUUUUGCAUAUAAUUAAGUCCAAUUGCUGUUGAUGUGUUCGGCUGGAUUAAAGUUGGUGUGUCUGUGUUUCCCGAGAAGCCGACUUUGGCCCACAUGUUAAGGGAUCUUAAGGUGUCACCAAUUAGACAACAUGCGUGCACGGUGGCUCCCGUCUGCCGGACCUGGUGGGUCACACGAAACCACUGUGGUUGCAGUGUGGUGAAUGGGGUUUUAUCCUCGUGCCAGAGUUGAGGACUUUGUAGAUCAUCUGCCGCCUGCUUGCAGCACACUGUUUGACAUGCGCCGCACUCGCCAGCGCACUUUUUUCCGAUGCACUUGUAAUAUUUUCUGCAGAAAUAUCAACACUUGACAUUGCAAAAUUAGCCUUGUGUAGCCAUUGUCUGUCAUGGAAUCACGCAGGGUGAAUAAAAAUGUUUAGACAGUCGCCUCUUUCUGUGUGUGUGACAGACUCAUUAGGUGUUGGAUUAUUAUUUUCAGACUCGUUGCCACUGAAAUCAAUCCAGUUCAUUUUUUGGGUUAACAGAAUAGGUGUCCCCCCCCCCCCCCCCCCCCCGUGUGGAUGUAGAGACUGUCUCAAGCUCUGUGCAUCAAUUUUUACUGAAUAAAGCUCGAAUGCAUCAUGAUGUAACUCUGUGCAACCUCCGCUAUUAUUUUCUCUGAUGUCCGUUAUGUUAAUAGGAAAGAAGCAUCAAAUGUCGGUCAAAAUGUAGUAAAUGUCAGACUUGUCACAAUUCAUCCGACAGCGAUUACUUGUGCAGACACACAAACAUUUGUAUAUUUGUUUUAUUUCACGAUUAACGGAAUCCAAAGUGUUACAAAUGAGGCGACAAAAGUAAAGUUUAAAUAAGAGCGCUUCCAUCCGCUUGGUAAAUGAAGUAUUUACCAGAGCAAGUUUGACAAAGUCUCCCCGGUGCUUCUUCUCUGCACUGAUGUCGUAUUUUGAUCUUGUCCAUUAAAAAAAAGCUUCAAGUUCAUUAUCUUGGAUCCCAUUUUUUUUCAAACAAGGUGGGCCUUCACAACACUUUUAGAAGAAGCCAGUUAAGAUUUAUGGACAUCACCUCACAGACCUAACAGAUGUUCAUCCAGAGGCAUCCGCAGUCCAUCGGCUCCCUCCCGUCUGCUGUAUUGGUGAGAGAUAAUCCACAGCAACGCUUUAUGCAUGAAUGGAAUUUUGAUUUUUCUUCAAUAACCCUUUUUUAAAUACACAAUAGCUAAACAGGCUUGGAGAAUAAAAUGCAUGUUGGAAAUAUGUGUAUUGACUGCUUCUUUGUCCUGCCUGAGCUCCGUGUCCUCAACUGAAUGCCUGAGAUCCUUCGAUAGGCUCCAACUGGCGUGUUUCAUGUUUCAUUGUCCUGCGUGAUAUCAGCCCUCCUCAUCGUCUGCCUCUGAUAGAUGGGCAGCGAGUUUAAUGCAGCGCCAUUGACACCGGUUUGCUAUCUAGCAUCAGACAUCUGUGGCGGUUUUGUCAAAACGACAAAGACAGAUGUUGGUGUGUGUGUGUCCCUUUAGGCAAACAAAGGAGACAAAACUGUUCCCAAUCUUGAGUGCCAUUUGUCUCAGAUCAAUAUCUGUCAUAUAUCCUGUUCAAAAAAUGUGUAAAUGCAGUGUUUUCAAAGUUGUGUGCUGAUGGAAUAUCAGGUACAUUUGAGGUGAAUUCCCUUAUACUGUAAUUGUAUAUAAAAAGUUGACAUCAUCCAUUGGGUUGUGAGCUUCAGGAUUAUGAUAUUUAAGAUUGCCGUUUUCAAUCAACAUACAUGAAAUUAAAGCACAUUGUAUUGGCAAAAACCUGAAACUAGAGAUUGAGACCAUAAACUAAUGUUUAAAAUGGUCACAGAGGGAAUAAAUCAAGUCGUUUCCUCAGACUUUCGGCAACCAGAGGCGUCGCCCUCCGGUGGUCAGUGGUUUCAGACACAUCAGCCCUGGCCUCACUUUUCCGGACCAGAGGUUUCUGCUGGGACGUGCAUUUAAAGUGAAAGAAAAGUCUUGAGUGGACAGAAACUAGACCUUUGAUGGUGCAAACUGAAGCCAUAUUUAUGCAAACUGAAAAUGUUUCAUUUUAAGUGUGUUUUCACUUAUGGUGACACUUUAGGGCUCGUGUUGUCUCUUAAUGAGAAAAGAAGUCAGACAGCGCCGGUUUUUCUAUGUCGUUAACAAGCUAAGAAUGGCUGGAAACACUCAACGCUCAAACAAGGCCAGUAGAAAACGGUAACAGGGUCAAAAAACACUUCAGAGCUCAUGAUUUAUUCUGAGCUCCUGGAGGCUCACAGGCCGGAUUUCUUGAGCAUUUCAUCAGUGGCCUUCAGCGGCGGCCGUGUCAUUGAAGUGAGAUUGAUAGCCGUCUGAGCGAGUGCAGCUACAGCAGCUCACCGAGGCCGGAGGACACCGACCGUAGCCGUGAUCGUGAGAUGACCGAGCUGCGGGGAUUGGCGCUGUGCUUUGGUCGUUACCGUUGCACGCCACCCGCAUUCUGCGGCUGUUAAAUGGAGACAAC